GUGGGUAUGGCGAAGUGGCUAACGCACCGGAUUGUGGCUCCGGCAUUCGAGGGUUCGAUCCCCUCUACCCACC
rnacentral:tRNA from 1 species